rnacentral:rRNA from 1 species
UACGUAGGCAGCAAGCGUUGUUCGGAGUUACUGGGCGUAAAGGGUGUGUAGGCGGUUGGGUAAGUGUGGUGUGAAAUCUCCCGGCUUAACUGGGAGGGUGCGCUACAAACUGUCUGACUAGAGUGUGGGAUGGGUAAGUGGAAUUCCUGGUGUAGCGGUGAAAUGCGUAGAUAUCAGGAGGAACACCGAUGGCGAAGGCAGAUCUCUGGGCCGUAACUGACGCUGAGGAGCGAAAGCAUGGGGAGCGAACAGG